AUUGAACGCUGGCGGCAUGCUUUACACAUGCAAGUCGAACGGUAACAGGCCGCAAGGUGCUGACGAGUGGCGAACGGGUGAGUAAUGCAUCGGAACGUGCCCAGUCGUGGGGGAUAACUACUCGAAAGAGUAGCUAAUACCGCAUACGAUCUAUGGAUGAAAGCGGGGGACCGUAAGGCCUCGCGCGAUUGGAGCGGCCGAUGUCAGAUUAGGUAGUUGGUGUGGUAAAGGCUCACCAAGCCAACGAUCUGUAGCUGGUCUGAGAGGACGACCAGCCACACUGGGACUGAGACACGGCCCAGACUCCUACGGGAGGCAGCAGUGGGGAAUUUUGGACAAUGGGCGCAAGCCUGAUCCAGCAAUGCCGCGUGCAGGAAGAAGGCCUUCGGGUUGUAAACUGCUUUUGUACGGAACGAAACGGCUCUGGUUAAUACCCGGGGCUAAUGACGGUACCGUAAGAAUAAGCACCGGCUAACUACGUG
rnacentral:rRNA from 1 species